CGUAGUUGGAUCUCAGUUCCAGGCGGGAGGUCCUCCCAACCGGAGGUUACUUCCUGUUCUGAACAGCCAGCCGGUUUCCUUUGAUGAUCUUCACCGGUUGUCUUGGGUGACCUGCAAGUUUACUUUGAAAAAAUUAGAGUGCUCAAAGCAGGCGUGACGCCUGAAUAAUGGUGCAUGGAAUAAUGGAAUAGGACCUCGGUUCUAUUUUGUUGGUUUUCGGGACACGAGGUAAUGAUUGAGAGGGACAGACGGGGGCAUUCGUAUUGCGACGCUAGAGGUGAAAUUCUUGGACCGUCGCAGGACGAACUACUGCGAAAGCAUUUGCCAAGAAUGUUUCCAUUAAUCAAGAACGAAAGUUAGAUGAUCGAAGGCGAUCAGAUACCGCCCUAGUUCUAACCAUAAACGAUGCCAGCCAGCGAUCCGGCUGUGUUCCUCAAAUGACACGCCGGGCAGCUUCCGGGAAACCAAAGCUUUUGGGUUCCGGGGGAAGUAUGGUUGCAAAACUUAAACUUAAAGGAAUUGGCGGAAGGGCACACAAGGAAUGGAGCCUGCGGCUUAAUUUGACUCAACACUGGGAAACUCAUUCGGUCCGGACACAGGAAGGAUUGACAGAUUAAGAGCUCUUUCUUGAUUCUGUGGGUUGUGGUGCAUGGCCGCUCUUAGUUGGUGGAGUGAUUUGUCAAGUUAAUUCUGAUAACGAUCGAGACUCUAGCCUGCUAAAUAGACGUUCCGAUCCUCUGCGUCGGACGUUCUUCUUAGAGGGACGAGCGGCGUUUAGCCGCACGAGACAGAGCAAUAGCAGGUCUGUGAUGCCCAUAGGUGUUCGAAGCCGCACGCGCGCUACAUUGAAGGAAUCAGCGUGUGCUCUCCCUGUCCGACAGGACUGGGUAACCCGCUGAACCUCCUUCGUACUGGGGAUUGGAGCUUGAAACUGUUCUCCAUGAACGAGGAAUUCCUAGUAAGCGCGAGUCAUCAGCUCGUGUUGACUACGUCCCUGCCCUUUGCACACACCGCCCGUCGCUACAUCCGAUGGAAUGAGCCAGCGAGGUCUUCGGACUGGCGCUCGGGUCGCGGAUCUCGGUCCGCGCCGGCGUGCCGGAAAGAUGACCGAACUUGCCCAUUUAGAGGAAGCAAAAGUCGUAA
rnacentral:rRNA from 1 species